rnacentral:rRNA from 1 species
AUUGAACGCUGGCGGCAUGCCUUACACAUGCAAGUCGAACGGCAGCACGGGAGCAAUCCUGGUGGCGAGUGGCGAACGGGUGAGUAAUAUAUCGGAACGUGCCCAGUCGUGGGGGAUAACGUAGCGAAAGUUACGCUAAUACCGCAUACGAUCUAUGGAUGAAAGCGGGGGAUCGCAAGACCUCGCGCGAUUGGAGCGGC